rnacentral:rRNA from 1 species
UGCUAGAAAGCUAGCCCCCACACCCAAGAACAACAAACCACUGUUUAUACCCCCAAACGAGUUAAAUAAUAACCAACAAACCAUUUUUCCCCCUUAGUA